GGGCACUUGGCACAGUGGUAGCGCGCCUGCUUUGCAUUGACUGAUGCUUGCAUGAGGUCGAGGGUUCAAUCCCCUCAGUGUCCA